rnacentral:lncRNA from 1 species
CAAUCCUAAUCCUGAAGAUGUAACGAGCAAUUUGGUAAAAUAAAUUUGUCGUAAUCUUUUACGGUUGCGAAGGAGUAGUGGCCACAAGAAAAACAGUGUUUGGGGAGAUAACUCUUACAACGUAAAGUAUUUUGGUUACGCGGUUGUCAGUUUUUAAAGCGUAUAAACUAUGCGAUAUCAUCAUAUUCCAAAUAUCUAAGCGACAUCUUAUGAAACAACAAUACUACGCAAGAAAAAAAUUAGGCGGAAGAAAAAAAAAAAUAAUAAUCAGAACAAAACCUAUAGGUCUUUCCACGGAAAGGUGGAAAGACCUAAUUAAAAACCAAUUGUUCAGAGAACAAUUGAAGGUCUUUCCACUAGUAAAGAUCUAUUUUGAUAUUGAAAUAUGAAAAAUCAGUUUAAAAUGUUAGUUCCUAUGGCUUUAUGAUGUAUUAUAUGAAUUUAAAGCAAAGGUCAAAAUCUAGAACGUCCUAUUAACCUAUGACCUUGACCUCAAUUUCAAGGUCACAAACCAAGGACCUUAAAUCAAAAGACCCUAGGUCUUUAAUAUGUUUGGUUAAUGAGUAAUACCACUUUACGCGUAAUUCUAAAUGUAAGAUGGACAAAAACUCCCAUUUAUUGUAUGCGCACCCUUUCAACCAAAAUAUACAAGUAAGGACAUGUCGCAACUAACAAUUUAGGAAAAAAUAUUUGUCGAUAUGUCAUACGGUAUUUGAAAAUAAGUGAAAAUAAGCCAAAAUCAAAUUUUAGAAUAUGACCUUGACCUUUGACCUUGACCUUAUUUUCAUUUUUUUGGACCAAGGAUCUCAAAUCAAGAGACCCUAGGUCUCUAUCACUUAUGGUUUACCAGUUAGAAACGCAUAUCACCUAUAUCAAAUACAUAAGGGGGAAUAACUCUCAUAUGGAGUCUCCGGAUAGCUUCGGUCCAAAAUGAAAAUCCUAAUCCUGAAGAUGUAACGAGCAAUUUGGUAAAAUAAAUUUGUCGUAAUCUUUUACGGUUGCGAAGGAGUAGUGGCCACAAGAAAAACAGUGUUUGGGGAGAUAACUCUUACAACGUAAAGUAUUUUGUUACGCGGUUGUAAAUUUUUAAAGCGUAUAAACUAUACGAUAUCAUAUUCCAAAUAUCUAAGCGACAUCUUUUGAAACAUCAAUAUGCUACGCAAGAAAAAGAAUUAGGCGGAAGAAAAAAAAAACAAUAAUUAAAAACCAAUUGUUCAGAGAACAAUUGAAGGUCUUUCCACUAGUAAAGAUCUAUUUUGAUAUUGAAAUAUGAAAAAUCAGUUUAAAAUGUUAGUUCCUAUGGCUUUAUGAUGUAUUAAUAUGAAUUUAAAGCAAAGGUCAAAAUCUAGAACGUCCUAUUAACCUAUGACCUUGACCUCAAUUUCAAGGUCACAAACCAAGGACCUUAAAUCAAAAGACCCUAGGUCUUUAAUAUGUUUGGUUAAUGAGUAAUAUCACUUUACGCGUAAUUCUAAAUGUAAGAAGGACAAAAACUCCAAUUUAUUGUAUGCGCACCCUUUCAACCAAA